CACGUAGGCACCAAGCGUUGUCCGGAUUUAUUGGGCGUAAAGAGCUCGUAGGCGGUUGAGUAAGUCGGGUGUGAAAACUCUGGGCUUAACCCAGAGCCGCCACCCGAUACUGCUCUGACUUGAGUUCGGUAGGGGAGCAGGGAAUUCCUAGUGUAGCGGUGAAAUGCGCAGAUAUUAGGAGGAACACCGGUGGCGAAGGCGCUGCUCUGGGCCGAUACUGACGCUGAGGAGCGAAAGCGUGGGUAGCAAACGAGGAA
rnacentral:rRNA from 1 species